UCGAACGGGGUGGAGGGCAACCUCCAUUCAGUGGCGAACGGGUGAGUAAUGCAUCGGAACGUGUCCUUGGGUGGGGGAUAACCCGGCGAAAGCCGGACUAAUACCGCAUACGCUCUGAGGAGGAAAGCGGGGGACCUGAAAGGGCCUCGUGCGCAAGGGGCGGCCGAUGUCCGAUUAGCUAGUUGGUGGGGUAAUGGCCCACCAAGGCUGCGAUCGGUAGCUGGUCUGAGAGGAUGAUCAGCCACACUGGGACUGAGACACGGCCCAGACUCCUACGGGAGGCAGCAGUGGGGAAUUUUGGACAAUGGGGGCAACCCUGAUCCAGCCAUGCCGCGUGCGGGAAGAAGGCCUUCGGGUUGUAAACCGCUUUUAGCCGGGAAGAAAGGGGCACGGAUAACACCCGUGCUCGUUGACGGUACCGGCGGAAUAAGCACCGGCUAACUACGUGCCAGCAGCCGCGGUAAUACGUAGGGUGCGAGCGUUA
rnacentral:rRNA from 1 species